rnacentral:rRNA from 1 species
UUGAAGAGUUUGAUCAUGGCUCAGAUUGAACGCUGGCGGCAGGCCUAACACAUGCAAGUCGAACGGUAACAGGAAGAAGCUUGCUUCUUUGCUGACGAGUGGCGGACGGGUGAGUAAUGUCUGGGAAACUGCCUGAUGGAGGGGGAUAACUACUGGAAACGGUAGCUAAUACCGCAUAACGUCGCAAGACCAAAGAGGGGGACCUUCGGGCCUCUUGCCAUCGGAUGUGCCCAGAUGGGAUUAGCUUGUUGGUGGGGUAACGGCUCACCAAGGCGACGAUCCCUAGCUGGUCUGAGAGGAUGACCAGCCACACUGGAACUGAGACACGGUCCAGACUCCUACGGGAGGCAGCAGUGGGGAAUAUUGCACAAUGGGCGCAAGCCUGAUGCAGCCAUGCCGCGUGUAUGAAGAAGGCCUUCGGGUUGUAAAGUACUUUCAGCGGGGAGGAAGGGAGUAAAGUUAAUACCUUUGCUCAUUGACGUUACCCGCAGAAGAAGCACCGGCUAACUCCGUGCCAGCAGCCGCGGUAAUACGGAGGGUGCAAGCGUUAAUCGGAAUUACUGGGCGUAAAGCGCACGCAGGCGGUUUGUUAAGUCAGAUGUGAAAUCCCCGGGCUCAACUCGGGAACUGCAUCUGAUACUGGCAAGCUUGAGUCUCGUAGAGGGGGGUAGAAUUCCAGGUGUAGCGGUGAAAUGCGUAGAGAUCUGGAGGAAUACCGGUGGCGAAGGCGGCCCCCUGGACGAAGACUGACGCUCAGGUGCGAAAGCGUGGGGAGCAAACAGGAUUAGAUACCCUGGUAGUCCACGCCGUAAACGAUGUCGACUUGGAGGUUGUGCCCUUGAGGCGUGGCUUCCGGAGCUAACGCGUUAAGUCGACCGCCUGGGGAGUACGGCCGCAAGGUUAAAACUCAAAUGAAUUGACGGGGGCCCGCACAAGCGGUGGAGCAUGUGGUUUAAUUCGAUGCAACGCGAAGAACCUUACCUGGUCUUGACAUCCACAGAACUUUCCAGAGAUGGAUUGGUGCCCUCGGGAACUGUGAGACAGGUGCUGCAUGGCUGUCGUCAGCUCGUGUUGUGAAAUGUUGGGUUAAGUCCCGCAACGAGCGCAACCCUUAUCCUUUGUUGCCAGCGGUCCGGCCGGGAACUCAAAGGAGACUGCCAGUGAUAAACUGGAGGAAGGUGGGGAUGACGUCAAGUCAUCAUGGCCCUUACGACCAGGGCUACACACGUGCUACAAUGGCGCAUACAAAGAGAAGCGACCUCGCGAGAGCAAGCGGACCUCAUAAAGUGCGUCGUAGUCCGGAUUGGAGUCUGCAACUCGACUCCAUGAAGUCGGAAUCGCUAGUAAUCGUGGAUCAGAAUGCCACGGUGAAUACGUUCCCGGGCCUUGUACACACCGCCCGUCACACCAUGGGAGUGGGUUGCAAAAGAAGUAGGUAGCUUAACCUUCGGGAGGGCGCUUACCACUUUGUGAUUCAUGACUGGGGUGAAGUCGUAACAAGGUAACCGUAGGGGAACCUGCGGUUGGAUCACCUCCUU